rnacentral:rRNA from 1 species
GACGGAGGGGGCAAGCGUUGUUCGGAUUCAUUGGGCGUAAAGGGCUCGUAGGCGGACAGGUAAGUCUGGCGUGAAAUCUCCACCACUCAACGGGGGAGAGGUCGUCGGAAACUGCUUGUCUGGAGUACGGUAGAGGACCAUGGAAUUCCAGGUGUAGCGGUGGAAUGCGUAGAGAUCUGGAAGAACACCGGUGGCGAAGGCGGUGGUCUGGGCCGUGGACUGACGCUGAGGAGCGAAAGCCAGGGGAGCAAAAGGG